GGCCGAGUGGUUUAAUGGUAUAAUUCCUGCUUUGGGUGCAGGAGGCUCCGGGUUCGAUCCCCGGCUCGGCCC